UUCGAGCGGCUGCUCAGGGUCGCUCCGGGUUGUGCAGCUGCCCGCCCGGGACGCAAAGUUCUAGUCUGGCCCUGGAUGGGAAGUUGGCGUGGCCGGGAUGCCUUCUAACUUUUUCCCCCGGUGGGGACUGACGUUCCUUUCGAGCUGCUGGCGGUGCCGCCGGGCAGCGUCGCGCCCCGCGGUCACUCCCCAGCCCUGGCCCCCAAGCCGGGCUCGGCGCGCGCAGCAGGUUGAGGGGGCGAGUGCCGAGGCGAGCGGCGGUCCGGCGUCCCCCGUCCCUGCUCUCCAUCUCGGGCUGAGGAUUCGCUGACGCAGCAAGCCGGCCGAUGCCCUGAGGGGACGCAGCCAGGGCGUGCGGGGGAAACGCUGUGUCAUCCCCUGGGGCCGUCGUCCCUCCGAGGGGCUGCCGCCUGGGAACCCCCCCCCAGCCUCUUCCUCGCUGUGUUCUCCGCGGAGGGUCUCCCGCGCCCGGGCCCCCGCGCCGCCGGGGACUGGCUCUGGGCACACCCGCUCAGGCUCUUCGGGGCACGGCGACAGGGGUCCUUUCCCUCCGGGACCUCCUCUGGGGCGUCGCCGACUCGGCCCUAGACUGCGGAGGCGGGGGUGGAACGCGGAGCCCGGGCGCCUGGUUGGGCCCGGAGACCGGAGCCGGGGAGGGGCCGCUCCCGCGCCGCAGACCCUCGGGCUCCCGCGCCUCCCGCACCAAUGAGACGGAAUUUAUUAGGAAACAGGCAGAGAGACCGCUGAAGUGAACCGGGGCUUGCCAGGGGUGGGCGGCAGCCGAGGCGGCCAGAAAAGAACUUUGAAGGAAGAAAGGAAAUUGUGCUAAGAGACGUCUCAGAGAGGCUGUGCAGCUGCUGGAGGACUAUAAGCAUGGGACCCUGCGCCCGGGGGUCACCAAUGAACAGCUCUGGAGUGCACAGAAAAUCAAGCAGGCUAUUCUACAUCCGGACACCAAUGAGAAGAUCUUCAUGCCAUUUAGAAUGUCAGGUUAUAUUCCUUUUGGGACGCCAAUUGUAAGUGUUACCUUCAAAGGAUUUCCUUUUCUAAAAAAUUAUUUUAAAUGUCUAACUUUAUGUUAUUGCUCACGGGUAUUUGACUGAAUUGUUGAUUUAGGAUAAGUCAAUUCCUGGAGGGAAAUUACCAAAUAAAAUGAUAUGUAUUUCUUACCACAUCUCUUGAUGCUGAUUGGCAAACCUCUUUUCAUAAAAAGCCUGAUGACUUAAAUCCAGCGUUGAGUUGAAAAUUGCCUUCUUCCCUGCACGUUUUCUGUCCCCACUGUUGUCAUUAGCACCUGCUAGUCAUAGGGAAGUUUUCUCAAAGAACUUGGGAAGUAGGAGUAGAAGCAUGCCUUCUGAAAAAUCAAAGUUUAAAAUUAAUUCAGAAAGAAUUUUCAGCAUUCUUUUUGUUCAGUUUUAGAAUCAGGAUUAUGUUUACUCCUUAUUUUUAUUGGAAUAAAACAUACAGAAAGGUGCAUUCAUCAUAAAUGUACAGCUUGGUAAAUUUUCAAAAAGCAAGCAUAUCCAGGGCUGGGCGCGGUGGCUCACGCCUGUAAUCCCAGCACUUUGGGAGGCCAAGGCAGGCAGAUCAUGAGGUCAGAAGAUCGAGACCAUCCUGGCCAACACAGUGAAACCCCGUCUCUACUAAAAAUACAAAAAAUUAGCUGAGAGUGGUGGCGGGCACCUGUAGUCCCAGCUACUCGGAAGGCUGAGGCAGGAGAAUGACAUGAACCCGGGAGGCGGAGCUUUCAGUGAGCCGAGAUCGCGCCAGUGCACUCCAGGCUGGGCAACAGAGCGAGACUCGGUCUC
rnacentral:lncRNA from 1 species